rnacentral:RNase_P_RNA from 1 species
CGAGUUGACUAGACAGUCGCUGUGUUGAUUUCUCGCUUAUUCGCUUGCGUUUAAAAGGGUGCGCCACAGAGGAAAGUCCGGGCUCCACAGGGUAGAGUGCCAGGUAACGCCUGGGGGGCGAAAGCCUACGGCCAGUGCAGCAGAGAGUAGACCGCCGAUGGUUCGUUCGCGAACACAGGUAAGGGUGAAAGGGUGCGGUAAGAGCGCACCGCGCUGUUGGUAACAGCAGUGGCAUGGUAAACCCCACUCGGAGCAAGACCAAAUAGGUUCCCAUAUGGCGCGACCCG